UACGGGAGGCAGCAGUGGGGAAUAUUGGGCAAUGGACGCAAGUCUGACCCAGCAACGCCGCGUGAAGGAAGAAGGCUUUCGGGUUGUAAACUUCUUUUAAGGGGGAAGAGCGGAAGACGGUACCCCUUGAAUAAGCCACGGCUAACUACGUGCCAGCAGCCGCGGUAAU
rnacentral:rRNA from 1 species